GUGUGACUGCGUACCUUUUGUAUAAUGGGUCAGCGACUUAUAUUCUGUAGCAAGGUUAACCGAAUAGGGGAGCCGAAGGGAAACCGAGUCUUAACUGGGCGUUAAGUUGCAGGGUAUAGACCCGAAACCCGGUGAUCUAGCCAUGGGCAGGUUGAAGGUUGGGUAACACUAACUGGAGGACCGAACCGACUAAUGUUGAAAAAUUAGCGGAUGACUUGUGGCUGGGGGUGAAAGGCCAAUCAAACCGGGAGAUAGCUGGUUCUCCCCGAAAGCUAUUUAGGUAGCGCCUCGUGAAUUCAUCUCCGGGGGUAGAGCACUGUUUCGGCAAGGGGGUCAUCCCGACUUACCAACCCGAUGCAAACUGCGAAUACCGGAGAAUGUUAUCACGGGAGACACACGGCGGGUGCUAACGUCCGUCGUGAAGAGGGAAACAACCCAGACCGCCAGCUAAGGUCCCAAAGUCAUGGUUAAGUGGGAAACGAUGUGGGAAGGCCCAGACAGCCAGGAUGUUGGCUUAGAAGCAGCCAUCAUUUAAAGAAAGCGUAAUAGCUCACUGGUCGAGUCGGCCUGCGCGGAAGAUGUAACGGGGCUAAACCAUGCACCGAAGCUGCGGCAGCGACGCUUAUGCGUUGUUGGGUAGGGGAGCGUUCUGUAAGCCUGCGAAGGUGUGCUGUGAGGCAUGCUGGAGGUAUCAGAAGUGCGAAUGCUGACAUAAGUAACGAUAAAGCGGGUGAAAAGCCCGCUCGCCGGAAGACCAAGGGUUCCUGUCCAACGUUAAUCGGGGCAGGGUGAGUCGACCCCUAAGGCGAGGCCGAAAGGCGUAGUCGAUGGGAAACAGGUUAAUAUUCCUGUACUUGGUGUUACUGCGAAGGGGGGACGGAGAAGGCUAUGUUGGCCGGGCGACGGUUGUCCCGGUUUAAGCGUGUAGGCUGGUUUUCCAGGCAAAUCCGGAAAAUCAAGGCUGAGGCGUGAUGACGAGGCACUACGGUGCUGAAGCAACAAAUGCCCUGCUUCCAGGAAAAGCCUCUAAGCAUCAGGUAACAUCAAAUCGUACCCCAAACCGACACAGGUGGUCAGGUAGAGAAUACCAAGGCGCUUGAGAGAACUCGGGUGAAGGAACUAGGCAAAAUGGUGCCGUAACUUCGGGAGAAGGCACGCUGAUAUGUAGGUGAAGUCCCUCGCGGAUGGAGCUGAAAUCAGUCGAAGAUACCAGCUGGCUGCAACUGUUUAUUAAAAACACAGCACUGUGCAAACACGAAAGUGGACGUAUACGGUGUGACGCCUGCCCGGUGCCGGAAGGUUAAUUGAUGGGGUUAGCGCAAGCGAAGCUCUUGAUCGAAGCCCCGGUAAACGGCGGCCGUAACUAUAACGGUCCUAAGGUAGCGAAAUUCCUUGUCGGGUAAGUUCCGACCUGCACGAAUGGCGUAAUGAUGGCCAGGCUGUCUCCACCCGAGACUCAGUGAAAUUGAACUCGCUGUGAAGAUGCAGUGUACCCGCGGCAAGACGGAAAGACCCCGUGAACCUUUACUAUAGCUUGACACUGAACAUUGAGCCUUGAUGUGUAGGAUAGGUGGGAGGCUUUGAAGUGUGGACGCCAGUCUGCAUGGAGCCGACCUUGAAAUACCACCCUUUAAUGUUUGAUGUUCUAACGUUGACCCGUAAUCCGGGUUGCGGACAGUGUCUGGUGGGUAGUUUGACUGGGGCGGUCUCCUCCUAAAGAGUAACGGAGGAGCACGAAGGUUGGCUAAUCCUGGUCGGACAUCAGGAGGUUAGUGCAAUGGCAUAAGCCAGCUUGACUGCGAGCGUGACGGCGCGAGCAGGUGCGAAAGCAGGUCAUAGUGAUCCGGUGGUUCUGAAUGGAAGGGCCAUCGCUCAACGGAUAAAAGGUACUCCGGGGAUAACAGGCUGAUACCGCCCAAGAGUUCAUAUCGACGGCGGUGUUUGGCACCUCGAUGUCGGCUCAUCACAUCCUGGGGCUGAAGUAGGUCCCAAGGGUAUGGCUGUUCGCCAUUUAAAGUGGUACGCGAGCUGGGUUUAGAACGUCGUGAGACAGUUCGGUCCCUAUCUGCCGUGGGCGCUGGAGAACUGAGGGGGGCUGCUCCUAGUACGAGAGGACCGGAGUGGACGCAUCACUGGUGUUCGGGUUGUCAUGCCAAUGGCACUGCCCGGUAGCUAAAUGCGGAAGAGAUAAGUGCUGAAAGCAUCUAAGCACGAAACUUGCCCCGAGAUGAGUUCU
rnacentral:rRNA from 1 species